AGCAGUAGCCGCGGUAAUACGUAGGUGGCAAGCGUUGUCCGGAAUUAUUGGGCGUAAAGCGCGCGCAGGUGGUUUAAUAAGUCUGAUGUGAAAGCCCACGGCUCAACCGUGGAGGGUCAUUGGAAACUGUUAAACUUGAGUGCAGAAGAGGAGAGUGGAAUUCCACGUGUAGCGGUGAAAUGCGUAGAGAUGUGGAGGAACACCAGUGGCGAAGGCGACUCUCUGGUCUGUAACUGACGCUGAGGAGCGAAAGCGUGGGGAGCGAACAGGAUUAGAUACCCGAGUAGUCCCUGUCUCUUAUAC
rnacentral:rRNA from 1 species